GACGAACGCUGGCGGCGUGCCUAAUACAUGCAAGUCGAACGCAGUGGGGACGGGUUCGUAACACGUGGGUAACCUCCCAUCAGAGGGGAUAACCCUUGGAAACAGGUGCUAAACCGCUACUGAUUGAUGGACCCGCGGUGCAUUAGCUAGUUGGUGGGGUAACGGCUAACCAAGGCCACGAUGCCUAGCCGGCCUGAGAGGGUGAUCGGCCACACUGGAACUGAGACACGGUCCAGACUCCUACGGGAGGCAGCAGUAGGGAAUAUUCGGCAAUGGACGAAAGUCUGACCGAGCCACGCCGCGUGAGUGAAGAAGGUUUUCGGAUCGUAAAACUCUGUUGGUAGGGAAGCGGUAUCUAACCAAAAAGCCACGGCUAACUACGUGCCAGCAGCCGCGGUAAUUC
rnacentral:rRNA from 1 species